GCCCAAACGAAAGGUGAAGAGGUCCACUUACCUUCACGACUUCGUUUGAAGAAAACUGCCAAAACAGAAGCUUCUGCAAAUCCUUCCCAGAUCGCCUUGCUUGGAAUUGUGAUCCUGCUGAGCAAUUCUUAUCAAUAAAACGGUUAUUGUAAUAUUCCUAGGAUUAUUACAUAUUAGGAAUUCUAUAAAAACCAUGUAAUAACAAACAAAGGCAAUAAGAAAAUUACAAGCUUCUUCUUUCUUCUUUCGUGCUCUGCUCCUUCCUCAUUUCUGGAGGUGUAGACCUCGAAUUCUAGCUCUUGAUACUUUGCACCUAACAAAUUCGGACACAGAGGUAUCAAUCACUACUUCGGACACAGGUUGCAGAGUUUUGUCAGAUAACUUCCUUCAUUCAGGUGUAUAAGCUAGAACCUUUAAGUGACAAAAAAUCUUUGGAAUUGUUAUGAUGUGGAAAGGCAUUUUUUUCGGGUUUUGGUGGAUGCUGUACAAAAGAAUAUGAAGACGUAGGUCUUGAAAUGGUUAGAAAGUGUGAACGUUUACCUCUAGCAAUUGUUGCAUUGGUGGUCUUUUAUAUAGCAAAUGUCAAAGUGCACUUGAAUGGACAGGUUUAGUCAAAAUCUAUGUUCGGAGUUGAAGAGGAAUUCUGAGUUAAUUAGUAUUUAAAAAGAAAAAUUGGUUUGAGUUAUGAUGAUUUUCUGUUCAAUCUCAGAUCAUGUUUAUUGUAUUUUAGAAUGUAUCCGGAAGACUAUGAAGUUAAAUCUGGAAGAUUGAUUACGCAGUGGAUAGCUGAAGGGUUUGUCAAACAUGAAAAUGGAAGAACUUUAGAAGAAGUUGCACAACAACAUUUAAUGGAGUUGAUCACUACAAGUUUGGUGCAAGUAUCUUCAUUUACUAUAGAUGACAAAGUUAAAGGAUGUCGUGUUCAUGACUUAAUACAUGAAAUGAUCCUUGGAAAUAUCAAGGAUACAUGGUUUUGUCUGUAUAUUGAUGAGCAUAAUCAAUUGGUGUCAAGUGCGAUCGUUAGACGCUUAACAAUAGGAUCAGAUUCCAAUGAUUUAAUUGAAAAUACUGAAAGAUCACGCAUUCGGUCAGUUCUAAUUUUCACAAAGCAAAAGUUACCCGAAUACUUAAUCAGUGGAAUACUUGAAAAAUACAUACCAUUGAAGGUACUUGAUUUUGAAGAUGCUAUACUAUAUCAUCUUCCUGAAAAUUGGGGGGGAUUUAAUCCACUUGAAGUAUCUGAGCUUCAUGGUAUACACAGAUAGAAAGUCUUCCAAAAUCCAUUGGUAAGCUCCAGAACUUGGAGACCUUGGAUGUAAGACAAACAAAAGUGUUUCAGAUACCAAAGGAGAUUAGCAAGCUUUUAAAGCUACGUCAUCUUCUGGCUAACGAAAUAUCUUCAAUUGCAGUGAAGGAUAGUAUUGGAGGCAUGACAUCUCUACAAAAAAUAUGCCUUCUGUAAGGAUUAUAGCGACUAAGGUCAAGAGAAUUCCUCUUUCGCCUACAGUGUUCAAUUAUUCUAUAAAUUAUUACACCUUUUAAUUUUAAAAAUUUGUAAAGUAAAGCCGAGACUCAUAUAUUUGCUUCCAUAUACUCCUUUCAUUCUCUUCCAAGUAAAUUAAACUAACAAUUUCCUUUUGAUGUUGGAAAGGGGAACCAUUUAUACAAACUUGGAAGAAUUCACUAUCAACUUCACUCAACUCCAACAGCUUAGUAAGGUGUGCAAGGGAAAUAAUGGAAAAUUUACUUGGUUUGCAACUGUUUGAAGUUUGAAGAACUAGGCUUUUUCGAAAAGGGUUAUAAUUAUAAUUUUCCACCAGUCCUAAGCCCUGACUAUGUCUCCAUUUUACUUCAAAUUGCUUGUGGUUGAUGCGUUCAAAUUGCUUGAUGAGUUCUUCACAAGUCCUAAGCACCUCUACUUGGUUGAUGCUCGAAUCCGUGGAUGCAAGUGAUGAUAUAUGUGGUUGCAUGUUGAUUUUGGAGGAUCCGUUCGCAUGCACGGAGAAAUUUGGCCCUGUUCUGAUUUUUGGUGUUUUGAUCUGAUCUUGGAUGCAUCUUGUGUUAUUAAAAAGGAUAUUUGGUUGAAGGAAAUGUGAUGUCUAUAUCAUUGUGAAGCUUAAAUGGAGGAGAAUAAAAAAUAUGACGAAAUUACAAGCGGAUUAGGGAGAGUUAUAUAUCUUAGUACUUCAAGGAUGGGACCCAGCCAUUCACAUUAGGUGAGUUAUAUAUCUUAGUACUUCAAGGAUGGGACCCAGCCAUUCACAUUAGGGAAACAAGUUGGUGGAUUCAACAUUAGGAAAAGAAGUUGGGAAUGGAGAACAUCUAACUUUCAUCAAUGCUUCCAUCCGAAAAUUACCACACUCCACGUAAUCUACCACCUAUGCUCAAUAACUUGGGGUAUUCAUGAGUGUAAUUGCUGCCUAGAUUAUUUUAACUUUUGAGUUCAGGUUUUGAUCAUCAAGGCUGGUGGACACUGCAGUGAGGAACAAUUCAUUUGAUGAGAUGUUCUUGCUGGUGGGAUUGGUACUCUAGAUGAGGUGUUUAAGAUACAGGCAUGCACUGAUUCAGCUUGAAUGGAUUGGACCAGAGCUCUUUGUGUUCUCUUCUAGAAGAAGUGUUUGAGAUACAGGCACUGAUUCAGCUUGAAAUGAAUUGGAGUAUGCUUUAUUUCUCUUUGUCUACAUCACACUGAUAGGUGUUAGACAUAAAAUUAUGGCUAAAUUACUAUGUUGGUCUUGUAUCUCUAUUUUAUAUUGUAAUUUAAGCUUCUAUUUGUUAAAAGUUACAAAAUGAUAUUUUAUUUAUUAAAAGCUGUAAAAUGGUUUCUUACAUAAUUUAUUUAUUGUAUCUUUACUUCUGAAGUAAUGUCUUUUUCAGUUGUUUUGGAUAAAUAAAAAAUAAUUAUUUUAAGUUAUAACUAAUA